UGGGCAGUAUGCUUCAAGGCUUUUCCUAGGUUUGAAAAAGAAGCAAACUGGAACAGCACCACAGCCCAAAUGACAUUUCUAUUUCCCUGUACCAACUCGAUGCCUCUGGGUUUAAGAAUUUAACUUACAUAGAAUUCAGUUCUUUAACAGAUGCAUCGUAUGGGAAAGUUUAAUUACCCAUCAGGCCUAUUUUUUGUCUUUACAACCCUCAUUCCUCCCCCCACCACCUCCCAGAAGCCUCACAUUUCCUUCUCUUUACAUCAGUCACCAGUCAGAAACAGAAAACUGACUCCCACUUCUGAUCUUGUGCUCUCUAUCUAGGCCCUUAAUGACUGAUUGGUAUCUCUAAGGACUCAGAACAACAAGUCUCCCUUUGGAAAUUCUAAAGUCCUACUCUAGUUCAUUCUGCCACAUCUGCAUUCAUUAGAUUAAUGCUGUCUGGUCAUAUUGCCCAAUUGACCAGAGCCUGCCUUUAACAAGGACCGCCUUCUUAAGAGCCCUCUGUGUUGUGCUGUUCCCUGGAAUGUACAUGUCCAUGGAAGGGAAGGCAGGAUGCCAGGGGUCAUUCUUGGGAACACAGCGAGAGGGUCAAACAGGAUUAGAACACCCUCUCUGUCAGAGAGGGUCAAAACCUCCCUCUCUGUCGCCUCUGACAAUGUGAAGUCUUCUCCCUGACCCCAAACUCCGCGGAAACUCCUGGGGCUAGUGAGCCGCUCCGUGGAGCUCAAGAAACACAACCGGCCUUGACUUUCCGCUGCCGCUGCUUGGCUGGCUGGAGAAGAGAUGGGGAGGGGGGAGGGGAAGCUCCAGGGAUG